rnacentral:lncRNA from 1 species
AGUGGUGUAAUAAGCUCAUAUUAUCUUCACAGCAAUGUAACCAUUCAAACUCAUGGGAAAUAAUUCAACACAAACUAAAUUUACAAACACAAAUCAGAGUCCUAAUUACAAGUCCCAAAGAAAGUCACAAAUGUUCAUGGCAUAACACUAUUAUAAACAUACAAAAACAGAAAGUAUAGAUUGACAAGUUGAAUGAAAAGAAAAACAGAGGAAAACAUUUCGCAAGUAUGGAGAUCUUCAUUUCUUCAUAACAUAUGAACCUUUCUUACAUGUCUAGAAUCAGGAUAUGUACCUCAAAGUUAAGAAGGAAAUAAGGAGAUUAAGAGGUUAAUCACAGCAGCAGCAGAGCCAGCCCAGAAUCAGUAGUCAAAAAGUGAAACCAGCUAAAAAAAAACUCAAUGAAACAGUAAACCCACACUCAAGCUUGAACCAAAACUUUCCAAAACACAACUUCAAUCCAUUUCAACCCCAGGAGAAGAAACUAUGAUUUUCAGAGGAUUUUGUUCACCCAAUGAAAUCAGAAGACUCAUCAAUGAGCAGAAUUUGAGCAGUUUUCUAAACAAAAAUGUGAAAAAUUCAGGAUUCUCAAGAACUCAGCCAUUUUAGUUUUCUCUGGAGUUUUAC